rnacentral:rRNA from 1 species
GAUGAACGCUGGCGGCGUGCCUAAUACAUGCAAGUCGAACGAGUGGCGGACGGGUGAGUAAUGUCUGGGCAACUGCCCGAUGGAGGGGGAUAACUACUGGGAACGGUAGCUAAUACCGCAUACCAUCGGAUGUGCCCAGUUGGGAUUAGCUAGUGGGUGGGGUAACGGCUCACCUAGGCGACGAUCCCUAGCUGGUCUGAGAGGAUGACCAGCCACACUGGAACUGAGACACGGUCCAGACUCCUACGGGAGGCAGCAGUGGGGAAUAUUGCACAAUGGGCGAAAGCCUGAUGCAGCCAUGCCGCGUGUAUGAAGAAGGCCUUCGGGUUGUAAAGUACUUUAAGCGAGGAGGCGUUACUCGCAGAAGAAGCACCGGCUAACUCCGUGCCAGCAGCCGCGGUAAUAC